rnacentral:rRNA from 1 species
AAAACGACUCUCGGCAACGGAUAUCUCGGCUCUCGCAUCGAUGAAGAACGCAGCGAAAUGCGAUACUUGGUGUGAAUUGCAGGAUCCCGCGAAUCAUCGAGUCUUUGAACGCAAGUUGCGCCCGAAGCCUUUCGGCCGAGGGCACGUCUGCCUGGGUGUCACUC